rnacentral:rRNA from 1 species
AUACGGAGGGGGUUAGCGUUGUUCGGAAUUACUGGGCGUAAAGCGUACGUAGGCGGACUGGAAAGUUGGGGGUGAAAUCCCGGGGCUCAACCCCGGAACUGCCUCCAAAACUUCCAAUCUAGAGAUCGAGAGAGGUGAGUGGAAUUCCAAGUGUAGAGGCGAAAUUCGUAGAUAUUUGGAGGAACACCAGUGGCGAAGGCGGCUCACUGGCUCGAUACUGACGCUGAGGUACGAAAGCGUGGGGAGCAAACAGGAUUAGAAACCCUAGUAGUCC